rnacentral:rRNA from 1 species
AGAGUUUGAUCCUGGCUCAGGACGAACGCUGGCGGCAUGCCUAAUACAUGCAAGUCGAGCGCAGGAAGCAAGACAGAUCCCUCCGGGGUGACGACUUGUGAAAUGAGCGGCGGAUGGGUGAGUAACACGUGGGCAACCUGCCUGUAAGCUUGGGAUAACUCCGGGAAACCGGUGCUAAUACCAAAUAAAACUUCUACUCGCAUGAGUGGAAGAUGAAAGGCGGCUUUUAGCUGUCACUUACAGAUGGGCCUGCGGCGCAUUAGCUAGUUGGUGAGGUAACUGCUUACCAAGGCGACGAUGCGUAGCCGACCUGAGAGGGUGAUCGGCCACACUGGGACUGAGACACGGCCCAGACUCCUACGGGAGGCAGCAGUAGGGAAUCUUCCGCAAUGGACGAAAGUCUGACGGAGCAAUGCCGCGUGAGUGAUGAAGGCCUUAGGGUCGUAAAACUCUGUUGUUAGGGAAGAAUAGGUAUCGGAGUAAUAUGCCGGUACUUUGACGGUACCUUACCAGAAAGCCCCGGCUAACUACGUGCCAGCAGCCGCGGUAAUACGUAGGGGGCGAGCGUUGUCCGGAAUUAUUGGGCGUAAAGGGCGCGCAGGCGGUUUCUUAAGUCUGAUGUGAAAUCUCGUGGCUUAACCACGAGCGGUCGUUGGAACUGGGAACUUGAUUCCGAAAAGAAGUGGAUUCCCCUGUACCGUGAAUGCUUAAAAUGUGAAGAA